UACGGGGGGGGCAAGCGUUGUUCGGAAUUACUGGGCGUAAAGGGCUCGUAGGCGGCCAACUAAGUCGGACGUGAAAUCCCCAGGCUCAACCUGGGAACUGCGUCCGAUACUGGAUGGCUUGAAUCCGGGAGAGGUGAGUGGAAUGCCGAGUGUAGAGGUGAAAUUCGUAGAUAUUCGGCGGAACACCAGUGGCGAAGGCGACUCACUGGCCCGAUACUGACGCUGAGGCGCGAAAGCGUGGGGAGCAAACAGG
rnacentral:rRNA from 1 species